AUUAUUUUAAUAAUAAAUUAUAGCAAAUUUAUUAUUUCUCCCUUGUGAAAUGCCAAUUCUGACCAACUACCGGAAUCUCCACCCAGUCGGUCAACUCCUUAGGACAAACUCCGCUCUUCACCGCCGCCUUGCUCGGACUGGGGAAACUGGUGGACAUCCUCCUGGAUUAUGGGUCGGACCCAAACCACCGCUGUUACGACGGGAGCACCCCUGUCCACGCAGCGGCCUUCUCAGGAAGCCAGGUCAUCCUUAGCAGACUGCUGGACGCAGGCGGGGACCUGCGACUCCACGACAAGGAUGGGAGGACGCCGCAAAGCUGGGCUGUGACCGCAGGGAAGGAAAGCAGCGCG